GAUGGAAGAACGUAGCGAAAUGCGAUAAGUAAUGUGAAUUGCAGAAUUCAGUGAAUCAUCGAAUCUUUGAACGCACAUUGCGCCCGCCAGUAUUCUGGCGGGCAUGCCUGUUCGAGCGUCAUUUCAACCCUCAGGCCCCGCCUGGCGUUGGGGAUCGGCGCGGCCCUCUCCGGGCUGCCGGCCCCGAAAACUAGUGGCGGUCUCGCUGUAGUCCUCCUCUGCGCAGUAGCAACGCUCGCACUGGAACUCGGCGCGGCCACGCCGUAAAACACCCCACUUCUGAAAGUUGACCUCGGAUCAGGUAGGAAUACCCGCUGAACUUAAGCAUAUCAAUAAGCGGAGGA
rnacentral:misc_RNA from 1 species